rnacentral:rRNA from 1 species
CGAGUUUGAUCCUGGCUCAGAUUGAACGCUGGCGGCAUGCUUUACACAUGCAAGUCGAACGGCAGCGCGGGGCAACCUGGCGGCGAGUGGCGAACGGGUGAGUAAUAUAUCGGAACGUACCCAGAAGUGGGGGAUAACGUAGCGAAAGUUACGCUAAUACCGCAUACGAUCUACGGAUGAAAGUGGGGGACCUUCGGGCCUCAUGCUUGUGGAGCGGCCGAUAUCUGAUUAGCUAGUUGGUGAGGUAAAGGCUCACCAAGGCGACGAUCAGUAGCUGGUCUGAGAGGACGACCAGCCACACUGGGACUGAGACACGGCCCAGACUCCUACGAGAGGCAGCAGUGGGGAAUUUUGGACAAUGGGCGCAAGCCUGAUCCAGCAAUGCCGCGUGAGUGAAGAAGGCCUUCGGGUUGUAAAGCUCUUUUGUCAGGGAAGAAACGGCCGAGGUUAAUACCUUUGGCUAAUGACGGUACCUGAAGAAUAAGCACCGGCUAACUACGUGCCAGCAGCCGCGGUAAUAA